AGCUGCCGGCGACGCCACGGGUGCAGGUGCAGUAAUCACGACGAUUCCCCGCGAAGUGGGACAAGCCGUAAUAGAAGAUAAGAAGGAUGCCGACGUUCUUGGGAGUGGAACCGAUACCGUCUACGCUGUCUAUUUCGUCCUCAGGUUAGUUCUGUUGAACGUUGAAACCGCAACAGUGUAACCUCAGGCACGAGUCGUCGUUACCCUCUGACAGCAACUACGGGCUGGGUACUACGGCUGCUUCCUUGCCCUCAGCUACUCCUCAUCUGCGGCACCCAAACACUUGACCGGUUCGGUGGCAACAGGCAAACCAUUACGCUGAACGGGACUAAAACUGCAGCAGAUGGUUGUAGGCUGCUUCCCUUGGGCAGGGCCAAAGGUAGAACUACCAUUCAAGAGAUUAGAAGAUAGAGUACCCUACACU
rnacentral:rRNA from 1 species